AAAAAUAAAAGAUGGUUUGAUCAUUUUUUGGAGAACACUCAACUAAAAUUUCAGAAUUUAAAAGUGUAUAAAAAUAUUUUUAAACCAAUGAAAAUAAAGGAGAAAAGAGAAAAUUCAAUAAAAAUAGACAAUCAAGAAAAUAAAAUAUGAAAAAAAUAAAAAUCAGAUGAAGAAAAAUAAAAUAAAAUUUUAGAAAUUAUUUUGGGAUUUUUUGGAUAAAAAAUGAAAUUAC
rnacentral:lncRNA from 1 species